rnacentral:rRNA from 1 species
GACGUAGGGCGCGAGCGUUGUCCGGAAUUAUUGGGCGUAAAGAGCUCGUAGGCGGUUUGUUGCGUCGGCUGUGAAAUCCCGAGGCUCAACCUCGGGUCUGCAGUCGAUACGAGCAAACUAGAGUGUUGCAGGGGAGACUGGAAUUCCUGGUGUAGCGGUGAAAUGCGCAGAUAUCAGGAGGAACACCGGUGGCGAAGGCAGCCUUCUGGGCCAAUAACUGACGCUCAUGCACGAAAGCGUGGGGAGCAAACAGG